AAAUUGAAGAGUUUGAUCAUGGCUCAGAUUGAACGCUGGCGGCAGGCCUAACACAUGCAAGUCGAGCGGAAACGAGUUAWCWGAACCUUCGGGGGACGAUAACGGCGUCGAGCGGCGGACGGGUGAGUAAUGCCUAGGAAAUUGCCCUGAUGUGGGGGAUAACCAUUGGAAACGAUGGCUAAUACCGCAUGAUG
rnacentral:rRNA from 1 species